AGAAAACCAAUUUGAGAGUUUUGACAGAAGGGCUUCGCUUCUAAUGGACGUCACCAUAUUGAGCUCAAACCGAUACAAACAGUGACAGGACCAGAUUCAGAUGUCAACAAUUCAUUUGCUGUGUGCCAGCCAACAUGCUUUCAUAAACUCAGGAGCAGCUGCAAAUGCCCAGAACAGGUAAGCAGGCUUUGAUUCAUGAAAAAUUCAGUUUGAUCCCAGUGAAUGCAUCUUUAAUUUCAUU
rnacentral:lncRNA from 13 species